rnacentral:rRNA from 1 species
UACGGAGGGGACUAGCGUUGUUCGGAUUUACUGGGCGUAAAGCGUGUGUAGGCGGCUUCGCAAGUUGGAUGUGAAAUCCCACGGCUCAACCGUGGACGUGCAUCCAAAACUGCGUCGCUAGAGUCUCGGAGAGGAAGGUGGAAUGCUUGGUGUAGAGGUGAAAUUCGUAGAUAUCAAGCAGAACACCUGCGGCGAAGGCGGCCUUCUGGACGAUGACUGACGCUGAGACACGAAAGCGUGGGGAGCAAACAGG